GAGAAAUGAGGAUAUUUACAAUGUCUUACUUUUACACUGAAGACAUCAGAUCCAACUCUGAUCUUGCUGUAAGC
ensembl:snoRNA